UAUAUACUGAGCCUAACGAAUAUUGUUCUUCGAUUCGUCAACAAUUCACGCUACAUGCACAAACUCGCACGCCUUCUCCUUCGAUUCAUCGCCGCAGCUCAUCUCUUCUUCAAGGGUUUUCACCUUCGAUUCAUCGCCGCUCAUCUCUUCUUCACCGUCACCGCUCAUCACUGCGCUCACCAAUGUCAAAGAAACUGUGUGCUCUCUCGCGACCCCUUCUCUGCUUUGCUAUGAAGCAUCAAGGUUUCUGAGGAGGCAAAGCAUCGAUCCCUAACAAGCGAGAAGAUGCGAUGCAAAGAGAAGAGAAGUGCCGCAGUAGUUCGCAUUCACCGUUUGCCCACUCGUUCAAGCUCUGAAGCUAGCCAUCUAAUUAUGAUUAUCUUUUUCCCCUCUUGUCAAUUCAUCAACACAGAAAAAAGAUUGACAAUUCUUAUGGAUUCUGGCAGCAAAAAUAUUAGAAGGGCAUGGAUUAUAGGAAGUCGUGGUGGUGAAGACAGAAUUGUUGUAGGAUAUAAUAUUUUAGUUUUUUCGUAGAGUAUUAGUAGUAAAUUUUAAGUGGUCUCAUAUUUAUUUUAAUAUGACUAUGCUUAAUUUAGUGUGAGAUGUAUGAAUAUUAGUACUUUUGGAUCAUUAUAAA